AGCUAAGAAACAAAUUGAAUCAAGAGCAGAAUGCCAAGCUACAACAACAGAGGGAGUGUUUGAAUAAGCGUAAUUCAGAAGUGGCAGUCAUGGAUAAGCGUGUUAAUGAGCUGAGGGACCGGCUGUGGAAGAAGAAGGCAGCUCUACAGCAAAAAGAAAAUCAAGGUAAAAAGUCCUGCACAGCCUAGUUCUUCCUGUCCCCACUAUUCUUUCUCCCAAGUUUGAGUUUAAAAAAAAUCUCUCUUUGUAUUCAUUAUUCAUGUUUGAAUUCUAAAAAUCCUCUUGAACUCCUGACCUCAAGUGAUUCACUUGCCUCAGCCUCCCAAAGUGCUGGGAUUACAGGUGUGAGCCACCAUGCCUGGCCUAUUAACAUGAAUUUUAAUGGCUUCCUAAUAUUCCAUCAUGUCAUUGAAUCAUUUGUCUAAUGUUGAACAAUUCUUGUGUAUUGAUGCUAUAGUCAUGUUUUUAUGGUAGCACAGUUUUUAGGUCUUUACAGAAUAAAAGGGAAGAAAGCAGGUGGGGAACAGACCAUGC
rnacentral:lncRNA from 1 species